rnacentral:rRNA from 1 species
UGGGGAAUAUUGCACAAUGGGCGCAAGCCUGAUGCAGCCAUGCCGCGUGUGUGAAGAAGGCCUUCGGGUUGUAAAGCACUUUCAGCGAGGAGGAAGGUGGUGAGCUUAAUACGCUCAUCAAUUGACGUUACUCGCAGAAGAAGCACCGGCUAACUCUGUGCCAGCAGCCGCGGUAAUACGGAGGGUGCAAGCGUUAAUCGGAAUUACUGGGCGUAAAGCGCACGCAGGCGGUUUGUUAAGUCAGAUGUGAAAUCCCCGGGCUCAACCUGGGAACUGCAUUUGAAACUGGCAAGCUAGAGUCUCGUAGAGGGGGGUAGAAUUCCAGGUGUAGCGGUGAAAUGCGUAGAGAUCUGGAGGAAUACCGGUGGCGAAGGCGGCCCCCUGGACGAAGACUGACGCUCAGGUGCGAAAGCGUGGGGCAGCAAACAGGAUUAGAUACCCUGGUAGUCCACGCUGUAAACGAUGUCGAUUUGGAGGUUGUGCCCUUGAGGCGUGGCUUCCGGAGCUAACGCGUUAAAUCGACCGCCUGGGGAGUACGGCCGCAAGGUUAAAACUCAAAUGAAUUGAC